UACGGAGGGUGCAAACGUUGCUCGGAAUCAUUGGGCGUAAAGCGCACGUAGGCGGUCCAGCAAGUCGGGUGUGAAAGCCCUCGGCUUAACCGAGGAAGUGCAUUCGAAACUACUGGACUUGAAUACUGGAGAGGAUCGCGGAAUUCCCGGUGUAGAGGUGAAAUUCGUAGAUAUUAGGAAGAACACCAGUGGCGAAGGCGGCUCACUGGUCCGGUACUGACGCUGAGGUGCGAAAGCGUGGGGAGCAAACAGG
rnacentral:rRNA from 1 species